rnacentral:lncRNA from 13 species
AUGGCCAGCAAAUUUUUUAAUUUAAUUUUUAUUUUUUUAGUAGAGAUAAGGUUUUAUCAUGUUGACCAAGCUGGUCUUAAACUCCUGGCCUCAAGUGAUCUGCCUGCCUCAGCCUCCCGAAGCACUGUGAUUACAGACAUGAGCCACCAUGUUCGACCAAGUGCUGUAUCUUGCGUGAAGAUGUACUUGGUCCCUGCCUGUGGCUGGCUUGUCUACCUGGUAUACCCAGUCUGGACAUCGGAGGACAUACAGUUUCAAAAUCUUGGAUGGCUUACUCUCCUUGAGAACACUUCCUCAUGGAUUUUGAAUCUCCAGCUCGUUCCACUCCCAGGCAGAAAGGAAGAGGAUGAUCACAGAAACACAGGACAUCUGCCAACUGAGCCUGCCACCUUCUAA